rnacentral:rRNA from 2 species
GGACCAAGGAGUCUAGCAUGUGCGCGAGUCAUUGGGACUCUGACUAAACCUAAAGGCGCAAUGAAAGUGAAGGUCCGCCUUGCGCGGACCGAGGGAGGAUGGACGGUCCCGAGGGGCCGCCCCGCACUCCCGGGGCGUCUCGUUCUCACAUUCGAGAAGAGGCGCACCCAGAGCGUACACGCUGGGACCCGAAAGAUGGUGAACUAUGCCUGGUCAGGACGAAGUCAGGGGAAACCCUGAUGGAGGUCCGUAGCGAUUCUGACGUGCAAAUCGAUCGUCGGAACUGGGUAUAGGGGCGAAAGACUAAUCGAACCAUCUAGUAGCUGGUUCCCUCCGAAGUUUCCCUCAGGAUAGCUGGCGCUCGCUUCUCGCGAGUCUCAUUCGGUAAAGCGAAUGAUUAGAGGCAUUGGGGUCGAAACGGCCUCAACCUAUUCUCAAACUUUAAAUGGGUGAGAUCUCCGGCUUGCUUGAACUGUGAAGCCGCGAGAUAUCGGAUCAGAGUGCCAAGUGGGCCACUUUUGGUAAGCAGAACUGGCGCUGUGGGAUGAACCAAACGCCGAGUUAAAGCGCCUAAAUCGACGCUUAUGGGAUACCAUGAAAGGCGUUGGUAACUUAAGACAGCAGGACGGUGGCCAUGGAAGUCGGA